rnacentral:rRNA from 1 species
GAAUCUACCUUCAGGACGGGGAUAACAGUGGGAAACUGCUGCUAAUACCCGAUAAGCCCGGGAGGGGAAAGAUUUAUCGCCUGAAGAUGAGCUCGCGUCCGAUUAGUUAGUUGGUGGGGUAAAGGCCUACCAAGACAGCGAUCGGUAGCUGGUCUGAGAGGACGACCAGCCACACUGGGACUGAGACACGGCCCAGACUCCUACGGGAGGCAGCAGUGGGGAAUCUUGCACAAUGGGCGAAAGCCUGAUGCAGCGACUCCGCGUGAAGGACGAAGCCCUGUGGGGUGUAAACUUCUUUUCUGGGAGAAGACGAAUGACGGUAUCUCAGGAAUAAGCCACGGCUAACUACGUGCCAGCAGCCGCGGUAAUACGUAGGUGGCGAGCGUUAUCCGGAUUUACUGGGCGUAAAGCGUCUGUAGCUGGUUUUGUAAGUCUGUUUUCAAAUUCCUUGACUUAAUCAAGGAUAGGGAACGGAUACUGCAUUUCUGGAGUCUUAUAGGGGUUAGCGGAAUUUCUGGUGGAGCGGUGAAAUGCGUUGAUAUCAGAAGGAACGCCAAAAGCGAAAGCAGCUAACUAUAUAUGUACUGACAGUGAGAGACGAAAGCUUGGGUAGCA